CGCUGGCGGCACGCCUAACACAUGCAAGUCGAACGAAGUAGCAAUACUUAGUGGCAGACGGGUGAGUAACAUGUAGGUAUCUACCCUUUGGCCUGGAAUAACACGAGGAAACUUGUGCUAAUACCGGAUAAGUCUUUACAGAGAAAGCUUUAUGCACCAUUGGAUGAGCCUGCACUUGAUUAGUUAGUUGGUAGGGUAACGGCCUACCAAGACUUUGAUCAAUAGCUGAUUUGAGAGGAUGAUCAGCCACAUUGGGACUGAGACACGGCCCAAACUCCUACGGGAGGCAGCAGUGGGGAAUCUUGCACAAUGGAGGAAACUCUGAUGCAGCGAUGCCGCGUGAGUGAAGAAGGCCUUUGGGUUGUAAAGCUCUUUCGUCGGGGAAGAAAAUGACUGUACCCGAAUAAGAAGGUCCGGCUAACUUCGUGCCAGCAGCCGCGGUAAUACGAAGGGACCUAGCGUAGUUCGGAAUUACUGGGCUUAAAGAGUUCGUAGGUGGUUGAAAAAGUUGGUGGUGAAAUCCCAGAGCUUAACUCUGGAACUGCCAUCAAAACUUUUCAGCUAGAGUUUGAUAGAGGAAAGCAGAAUUUCUAGUGUAGAGGUGAAAUUCGUAGAUAUUAGAAAGAAUACCAAUUGCGAAGGCAGCUUUCUGGAUCAUUACUGACACUGAGGAACGAAAGCAUGGGUAGCGAAGAGGAUUAGAUACCCUCGUAGUCCAUGCCGUAAACGAUGUGUGUUAGACGUUGGAAAUUUAUUUUCUGUGUCGCAGCGAAAGCGAUAAACACACCGCCUGGGGAGUACGACCGC
rnacentral:rRNA from 1 species